rnacentral:rRNA from 1 species
UACGUAGGGGGCUAGCGUUGUCCGGAAUCAUUGGGCGUAAAGCGCGUGUAGGCGGUCCGGUAAGUCCGCUGUGAAAGUCGGGGGCUCAACCCUCGGAUGCCGGUGGAUACUGUCGGGCUUGAGUACGGAAGAGGCGAGUGGAAUUCCUGGUGUAGCGGUGAAAUGCGCAGAUAUCAGGAGGAACACCAAUUGCGAAGGCAGCUCGCUGGGACGUUACUGACGCUGAGACGCGAAGGCUAGGGGAGCGAACGGG